AGAAAGGCAUUGCAAGAUUCACUAAUUUCAAAUUCUUAUAUAUAUUUUAGAUUUUAUUAACUUAUAGUGUUUAUCAUAAUCUUCCUAUUUUUUUGAUAAACUGAAACAGUAUACAGAAUGCUUUUUCAAUUCCUGUCAAAAAUGAAAACAAGUAUUAGAUCAUGAAGAUAUAUCUGACGGUUGCAUUUCUGUAAAUACCGACAAUGCAAUUUCCCAUUGGAACUUUUUUUACGGCUAAAACUGUACCAUUUUUAUACGACCGCAAAAAAAUUUUUGUGGUCGUAUAUUGGUAUGACGUUGGCGUCGUCGUCGUCGUCGUCGUCGUCGUCCGGCGUCGUCGUCCGAAUACACAUUAGUUUUCGCACUCUAACUUUAGUUUAAGUGUAUGGAUCUCAAUGAAAUUUUACUAUAAGGUUCAAUACGACAAAAGGAAGGUGGGGAUUGAUUUUGGGGGUUAUGGUACUAACAGUUAAGGAAUUAAGGGCCAAAAAGGGGCCAAAAAUAAGCAUUUUUGUAACUUCCAGACAUAACUUGUGUGUAAGUAUAUGGAUCUCUCUGACAUUGUACCACAAGGUUCCAUAUCACAAAGGGAAUACUGGGAUUGAUUUUUGGGGGUAAUUUCCUCCAAAUUUUGGGAAUUAGGGGCCAAAAAGGGGCAAAAAACAAGCAUUUUUCUAGUUUCAGGACAAUAACUUGUUUGUAAGUGUAUGGAUCUUUAUGAAAUUGUACUGCAAGGUUCCAUAUCACAAAGGGAAAGCUGGGUUGGAGUUUGGGGGUAAUUGCCCCAAACGUUUAGGAAUUAGGGGCCAAAAAGGGACAAAAAAACAAGCAUUUUUCUAGUUUCCAGACAAUAACUUGUGUUCAAGUGAAUGGAUCUCUCUAAAAUUGUACUGCAAGGUACCAUACCACAAAGGGAAAGCUGGGAUUGAGUGUGGGGGCGAUGAAUCAUAAGGGGGUUCAAAAAAUUUGGGGGGGGGGGAUUUUUUUUUCCUUUUUUUUCUUUAAAAUUUUCCAUUUUAAAUUGGUUAUUUCUGAUUUAUAUAUAAAAGCAAAUAAUAAUGAUAUGGUUUGAAUAGCAUACAUGUGAACCUCCCGACAGGUGUACAAUAAUCCUGUUUUCAGGAGGCUCCUCCUGACCUCCGUUUGAAGAGGAAAAUUAUAAUCCCGUGUAUGAAAUUUUUCAUGAAUGAAAAAUUUCUGCCCAACAUAUCAUCUCAGGCAUCUGGUGUAACUCACAUUACCUGAAGUUAUAUUUUACCUGUUAAUCAAUUAACAUGCAUAAUUAUAUGGCUUCACUUGUCAGCUUGGGUUUCAAACAUACUGGUAAUCAAUGAUUUUUUACCUCAGGCUAACUGCCGUUGUGUAACAAAAACUGUGUAUUUAUUGGGUUACUUCCCUUGAUUUAUCCUGUUUUAAGUUACUUUCCUUUUAAUAAUAAAAUUUUUUAAAAGAAUAUAAAUAAAAUAUAAAUUGAACAAAUAAUCAUAAAAGGAUGGUAAAUAAAUGAUUUUAAAUGUCUUAGGACAAAUAAAAAAAUAAUAAUUUGAAAAUUAUUUGAGGAUUCUAUACUUCCUUUCAAGGCUUAAAUUGAAAUUUAUAUAAUAACUAUGACCCUGGAUUUACAGUUAGAAUGAUUUUCUGAGUAUGCAAACAAAAGCUAUUUGCAGAUAGUUAAACAAAUGUUCUGGUUGCAAUAAAUGUUUUAUAGAAUAUGAAGUAAAAAAUUUAAAGAACAUAUUGAAAAAAAAAAUGUUAGAUUGAACAUGUAAAAUAUAAAGAUGGAGAAACUUUUUAAGUACAAGGGUACUAUAAACAUAAUAAAUUGGAUGGAAAGUUGAAGAAAACACACUUUAAAAGACCAUUUUUACAGCACACGGUUACAUUUACGACAAAAUUUAUGUCGAUUAAAAACCUCCUGAUCUGAGUCCUAAUCUCCUGACCAAAAUUUCCCAAUCUCCUGAUCUGAGUUUCACAGUCCAUCACAUGUAUGAAUAGGUAAAUUAAAAAAUUAUAAGUUCUUAGACCACUUUCAUUCUGUGUCAGAAACCUAUGCUGUGUCAAAUAUUUAAUUACAAUCCAAAUUCAGUGCUGUAUCAAGCUUGAAUGUUGUGUCCAUACUUGCCCCAACUGUUCAGGGUUUGACCUCUGCGGUCGUAUCAAGCUGCGCCCCAGCGGAGCAUUUUAUUACUAU